CUCGUAGGCGGCCAACUAAGUCAUACGUGAAAUCCCUCGGCUUAACCGGGGAACUGCGUCUGAUACUGGAUGGCUUGAGAUUGGGAGAGGGAUGCGGAAUUCCAGGUGUAGCGGUGAAAUGCGUAGAUAUCUGGAGGAACACCGGUGGCGAAGGCGGCAUCCUGGACCAACACUGACGCUGAGGAGCGAAAGCCAGGGGAGCAAACG
rnacentral:rRNA from 1 species